UUCGGGGAAGAGGAAAGAAGUAGUGGGAUGGAAGUGGUUGGGUGUCCACAGCACGGGACCUUAUGUUUUCUGAAGACCGGCGUCCGAGAUGGCCCGAAUAAAGGAAAGAGCUUCUACGUGUGCCCGGCGGACACAUGCAGCUUCGUGGGGGCCACCGACAUUCCUGUUUCUCAUUGUUUAUUGCAUGAGGACUUUGCGGUAGAGCUUCAGGGUCUGUUUCUAUCACAGGGCGAGAAAGAAUACAGGUUAUUCUUCCGAUGUGUUAGAAGUAAGGCAGAGGGGAAGCAAUGGUGUGGAAAUAUCCCAUGGCAGGACCCUAAUUCCGAAGAACAUUCUGUAACCAGUAAGUCUCAGCAUGCCUCUGAGAUAUCUCGUUAUCCUUCCAGCCAGCAGAGAAACCCGUUCAAGUUAAUUGACAAGAAUCAAGAACCAUCCCUCUGGAAGCAGUUCAUCAAAGGUGAAGAUGAGGAAAAGACAGCUGAUAAGAAGCAAAGGGAAAAGAGAGAUCCACUCCUGGAUCAAAAGAAGGAACAGAAGCCUGAAUCUAAGUGCUGGAUGGAGGAAGAUCUCUCAUCUGGCCUGGUGGUAAAGGAAAAACAAUCAGCUGUUCAAGAGAUGCAGCGAGGGGAGAAGACAGAGUUUCGUAGUGCUGCAAAGGAGGUUGAAGGGGUGCACAAAAGAAACCUAUUUGAGAUGAAAUCCAAACAGGUCCGUGGGAAUGAGCUGAGAGAACCGUCUGCAUCUCAGGAGCAGUCAAAUGGUGAGAGACAUUCUCUCCAAAAAGAAUCAGAACCUCCAAGGGAAAAGGAAACUAAGCCUUUGCCUCGAAUUGUUCACAGUCAACACCCAAUAAGCCAGUCCCUGAAAGGGGGACACCUCAGCAAGGAGCACCCCAAGAGCUGGGAGGCUAGAGAAACAAAGGCAAAGAAGGACGCAAGCACGCAGACCCUCCAGAAAAGUCUGCUCCAGGGCCAUUUGCAGGCACAGCCGGAGACCCGGGGCACGCCUGCUCCAAAGGGACCGGCUGCUCAGCCUGCACCGCUGGCCGCAGGGCACCCCCAGGGAGAGAUGCGAGACGCUGAUACAAGCAGUGGUGACAGUGAGGAAGGUGAUGUUGUUUUUUUUUCCUCUAAGCCAGGGAGCCCCUUGCUCUUUGACUUGACUCUAGACUCACAGAAGAAGAAGAACCUUAAAUUCCCUGGUCAGAGUGUGCAAAGAAAAAUUUCUCCUUACUCAGGCGUUUCCAAGAAGGGAGAACCUUCAGACCCAGAAGCCCAACGUGUGUACCUCACAACACAGCUGAAACAAAAGAAGAGCACAUUGGCAUCUGUGAACAUCCAGGCUCUUCCAGACAAGGGUCAGAAGUUGUUCAAGCAACUUCAGGAGCUGGAGGAUGCGCUGAGUGCCCUGGCCCUCUCCCCAGAGCAAGGCACUAAUGAGAAGAGUAACACUCAAGUACCACAGCAGAGUAACUUCACCAAAACGACCACUGAUCCUCCCCACUUGGUGCCUCCCAAACCCCUGCAGGGCCGGGAUCUCCAGCCUCUGGGUUGUCUAGGACUGAAGGCUGCCCACCAGGAGGCUGCUGGAGGGUCUGAUCAGUGCUGUGGAGGCCCUAUGAGCCAAGGUCACCUUCGCGCAGUGUGGCAAAUCACAAGUGAAGCCAUUGAUGAGCUGCAUCGAUCACUUGAGUCACGUCCUGGCGAGACAGCUGUAGCAGAGGAUCCAGCUGGGUUGAAGAUCCCUUUGUUGCCGCACCAGAAGCAGGCAUUAGCCUGGCUGCUAUGGCGGGAAGGUCAGAAGCCACGAGGAGGAAUCCUGGCGGAUGAUAUGGGGUUAGGAAAAACCCUCACAAUGAUUGCACUCAUCCUGACCCAGAAGAACCAAGAGAAAAACAAAGAAAAGGACAAAACCACGGCUUUGGCUUGGCUUUCCAAAAAUGACUCCUCUGAGUUCACUUCCCAUGGAACACUAGUCAUCUGUCCUGCUUCCCUGAUCCAUCAUUGGAAAAGUGAGGUGGAGAAACGUGUGAGCAGCAACAAACUAAGAGUCUAUCUGUAUCAUGGGCCAAACCGGGAUCAACAUGCAAAAGUCCUCUCCACAUAUGACAUCGUGGUCACUACCUACAGCCUUCUGGCCAAGGAGAUUCCCACAAAGAAGGAAGAGGGAGAGAUGCCAGGUGCAAACCUCAGUGUGAAGGGUGUCUCAUCACCUUUGCUUCGAGUAGUCUGGGCUCGAAUCAUAUUGGAUGAAGCUCACAAUGUUAAGAAUCCCCGAGUGCAGACUUCCUUGGCUGUGUGUAAGCUCCAGGCCCAAGCCCGUUGGGCUGUCACUGGAACCCCCAUUCAGAACAACUUGUUGGACAUGUAUUCACUGCUGAAAUUUCUCCGUUGUUCUCCAUUUGAUGAACUCAGUCUGUGGAGGAGUCAGGUUGACAAUGGUUCAAAGAAAGGAGAAGAACGGUUAAAUAUUUUAACCAAGAGCCUUUUGCUGAGGAGAACAAAAGACCAGCUGGACCCCACCGGCAAGCCCUUGGUGGUGCUCCCCCAGCGUAAAUUUCAGUUGCACCAUUUAAAGCUUUCUGAAGAUGAAGAAAAUGUUUAUAGUGUCCUUUUUGCAAGAUCAAGGUCAGCUCUGCAAUCCUAUCUAAAAAGACAUGAAAGUGGGGGCAGCCAAUCUGGAAGAAGCUCUGAUAAUCCAUUCAGUAGAGUGGCCCAGGAGUUUGGGUCCAGUGGGCCUGGGCUCUCCGUGGCAGCAGACUCGCAGACAUCUAGCACCGCCCAUAUACUGUCACAGUUGCUGAGACUCCGCCAGUGUUGUUGUCAUCUUUCUCUACUGAAGUCGGCCCUGGAUCUGAAAGAGCUGAAGAGUGAAGGCCUGGUCCUUUCCCUGGAAGAGCAGCUCAGAGACUUGACCUUGUCCGAAUUCCAUAACUCAGAGCCGUCCGCCUCCAUUUCCCUUAAUGGCAAAUGCUUCAAUGUGGAGCUUUUUGACGACAGGAGAGAGAGCACCAAGAUUUCAUCUCUGUUGGCAGAAUUGGAGGCAAUCCGAAGAAAUUCAGGGUCCCAAAAGAGUGUCAUCGUCUCUCAGUGGACCAGCAUGCUGAAGGUUGUAACCUUGCACCUUAAGAGGCAUGGACUGACUUAUUCCACCAUCGAUGGCUCUGUUAACCCCAAACAGAGAAUGGACUUGGUGGAGGCAUUUAACAAAUCCAGGGGCCCUCAGGUUAUGCUAAUCUCUCUCUUGGCUGGAGGCGUUGGUCUAAACCUGACUGGAGGAAACCAUCUUUUCCUUCUGGACAUGCACUGGAAUCCGUCACUUGAAGACCAAGCUUGUGACCGAAUUUACCGAGUAGGGCAGCAGAAAGAUGUUGUCAUACACAGAUUUGUUUGUGAGGGAACAGUGGAAGAGAAGAUCUUGCAGCUCCAAGAAAAAAAGAGAGAUUUGGCCAAACAGAUUCUAUCAGGAACUGGAGAAGUUGUCACCAAGCUCACCUUGGCCGAUCUCAAAGUCCUUUUUGGCAUCUAACUUCCUGUUUAUGGAGCUCAGAAUAGUGCCAUUGUUGGUUUGUAUUAGGAUCUGGGGAGAAUGACCUAACCCUGGUCCUUUGAGCUCUCGUUGGCAUUCGGUUUCACCUUCAAGCCCUCCUCAAAGUGAGGAUCCGUUACCAUGUUAACCACUUGGUUAACCAGUCAUGUUAAUCAAUCAACGUAUUUAAUGUGUGACAUAGAAACCAAUAAAUUACUUCAGAUAAGAGCAAAUGCUUUAGAGUUAGAGAAUUUGGAAAACAGCCCUGGGAGAGUUGUACCUAAGCUUCAGUAAAAGCUUAAAAAGCCCUCUGUUGCUUUUCUCUUCUCAGCUGGUGGGGACCCAAUGUUAUUGCCUUGUCUAACACAGGCUCCAUCCCAUCUCUUCAUCUCCUGCCAAUGAGGCUGCUCGUAUAACCAUCUCUUUAUGGGCUGAGCAGAAGCAGCUCUCUGCGUAAUAUGUAGAUGAGACUACAUUUCCUAGUCUUCACUGCAGUUACAUGGGUCCAUAUUACUGAGUUCUAAGUCAGUGGAAUAUGGAGAGAAGUGAUGUAAGUCAUUUCUUAUCUGCCUUUCUGAAACCUUGCAAGUGAUUCUUUGUGCUGUUUCUUCUCUUGUUGGCCCACUGAAUACAAAGGAACUGAUGGAUGACUGCAGGGCCCUAGAGACUUGUGAAGCCACUAGGUCAGAGAUUCUUAACCUACUGCUGGCCACGGACCCCUUGGCAGACUGUUUCUUCAGAAUUAAGGUCAGGGGUUCUCUGGUGAUCUGAAGCCGUGACCACAGACCCAGGAAGCCGUCAGAGGGCCACCGUCCUCAGUACACUCCUCGAUGCGCUCUGCCCACCUGCCCAUGCGCAUUCUGACUUCUCGACUGCAUUCCUAGAAACAAAGCCUAAGUCUGAACACCCCGAAGCUGGUCGCUGUGGUAGUUGAUCCCGCCGCCGGGAGACAGCAGCAGAGGGAGAGCGAGGGCUUUCGGGAGCGACUGGUUCUCCUUACCCGGCAUGGUGCCUCCACAUGCGCAGCGAGCAGUCUUCUGGCCUCCGCUGGAGCAGAACGUGCAGCAGUGAAACACGCCUGGGUGUGAGCGGUGCCGUUUCCUCACGGUCACAGUGAAUGGUGAGCCCUUCAAUGUUCAGACCAAGAGCAAAGAACAGCACCUUGUGAGUCAACAGGGGUGUGCCGAGCGUCACACAUACUAAACGGAGUGUAAGUCGCAGGGCCUGUCCCUGGAGGGACGAGGACAGCAGGAGGGAAACAGCGACUGGGGGACAGCAGCCGGCUGGGCGCUGAGCUGGAUGGGGCCAGAUACAAAUGCAGUGAGAGGGGGAGUCAAGGAAUCCGUGCUGCUCUCCCAGCAUGCAUGCCACCUGAUGCACUAGGAAACCCAACUGUGCUUUCACGUCACUGACCUUGGUCUCUAUCUCCUCCAUUCCUGAGCAAGCUUGGGUAACUAUAGAGCACACAACCACAAGGUGAGGACAUCUGUGGUCCUUUCUCCAGUUUCUCGGCCACACACCCCCUCCCCUCACAUGCUGAGCCAGCUCCUCUCCUUCCAUCCCUCCAUCCUGGACACAACUGUUUACCCAUCCCCUUUACUCUGGGUUGGUGAAGAUAGAUGGAAGGGAGGAAGGUUAAAAGCCUGUGGUUAAUAAUUCUCAGAUUGGGCUUCCCUGGUGGCACAGUGGUUGGGAGUCCGCCUGCUGAUGCAGGGGACGCGGGUUUGUGCCCCGGUCCGGGAGGAUCCCACGUGCCGUGGAGCGGCUGGGCCCGUGAGCCAUGGCUGGCUGCUGGGCCUGCGCAUUCAGAGCCUGUGCUCCGCAACAGGAGAGGCCACGGCAGUGAGAGGCCCGCAUACCGCAAAAAAAAAAAAAAAAAAUCUCCGAUUAGAAACUCUCCUGCCUCUUUUCAUUCAAGGAUAACUUCCAUUCUCCAAUUUCUACCCUAUGUUAAACAGUAAAUAUUUAAUAACUGUUGUUAUGUGCUUAUCCCUGCAUGAGAACCACACGUUCUGCAAAAGCACAAAGCAGAGAGGCUGGCACCUUAGAAGCCUUUCAAAUGUUAAAUCUCUCUUCCUUUAAAGAGUUUACAAUCUGUUUUAAAAACAACCUGGAGUUCAAAGCUAUGGGUUCAAAUUAUGAUUUUUCCACACAGGUACUGUGUAUUGUGGCAAGUUUGUUUUCUCGGUCCAGUUGGAUGAUGAUCCUUAUGCCUCAGUGAUUUGGAGGAAAAGUGAAAUAAUGUUUGUAAAAACACCUAACCCGGCUUCCCUGGUGGCGCAGUGGUUGGGAGUCUACCUGCCAAUGCAGGGGACACGGGUUCGAGCCCUGGUCCGGGAGGAUCUCACAUGCCGCGCAGCGGCUGGGCCCAUGUGCCGCAACUACUGAGUCCGUGCGCCACAACUACUGAGCCUGCGCGCCACGGCUAUCAAAGCCCGUGUGCCUAGAGCCCGUGCUCUGCAAUGGGAGAAGCCACUGCGAUAAGAGGCCCGCAUACCACAAUGAGGAGUAGCCCCCACUCACCACAACUAGAGAAAGACCGUGCGGAGCAAUGAGGACCCAAUGCAGCCAAAAUAAAUAGAUAAAAUAAAUAAAUUUACAAAUAAAUAAUUAAU